AUUCCUUUUGUGAAAUUUCCACGAACCUUCUUACAUUUGAAACCAAGAAAAACGUUUUGCUGGAGGAGGAGGCCUGUUCAAACUCACCAGUCAAGUUACAGUAAACCUGUUCGGUAAUAAAUAUAUAAUAUCAAAGUGACUUCAAACCACACGAUGUCUCUUGUCAUCAGUUCACUUUUUCUUGUUUUUAUUCACUUGUGUUCGUCCCUCUUCAAUGAUUAGAUUGCUUUCCCUGUAAGGCUAAGCCCAAAUGUGGUUCAAUUUCUAGCAAUUUAUGGUUGGAGAAGCAGAUCAGGUGAAGAAUAUCCGAUUAAUAGUCCUUUCUUGUCUUUCAGCUCAUAUGAUCUAGAGAAUUUCACCCUACAGCCUUGUGCAAUUUUUUGAUCUCAUGGCUUCUUCUUCUUCUUCAGAGGGGAAGGCACCCGUGUUGGUUUUACCAGCCACCUUCAUGCAGCUUUGGAACGGAAAAAACAUCCUUUUUUUUUUUUUAUGAUCAAAUGUAAGAAACGGAAAAAACAUCCUUACUUUCAUAGAUAAUGACCUUAGGCGAGGAGAAGAAAUUUCUCCAUCACUUGUAAAAGCAAUUGAAGACUCCAUGCUCUCUGUUAUCAUUUUUUCCCAAAACUAUGCAUCUUCCAAAUGGUGCUUAGAUGAGCUAUUGAAGAUUCUUGAAAGCUGAAAAAUUAGAGGGCAGAUUGCUAUUCCAGUAUUCUACGAGGUUGAUCCUUCUGAUGUAAGAAAGCAAAGUGGAAGCUCUGGAGAUGCAUUUGCGCAACUUGUAAAGAGGAAAGCUUUGGAGAUGGAGGAGGAGCAAUGUUUCAGAGCUGCUUUGAACGAAGCUGUCAACAUAUCUGGCCAUGACUCAAGGAAGAUCGAGUUUACAAAUGUGGAGGUUGCUCACAUGAUAACAUCGGCGAUGAAAUCAUCGAUGAAAGUGUCAUUGUUGAAGUGAAAUCAAGUUCUCAAAAAUCUUGAAUGGAAGCUUAUGAUGAUUGAUACAUAGUUCGGAAAGUUCAAGGAAGAAUUUCACUGGGAUUAGUCCGACAACGCUGUUGCGAGGAGGGUGUGAGAGAAUCACAACGCCAUUAUGUUGUGUGAUUCAUGGUAUGAGACGUAAAAAUAUCAAAGAAAUACAUGGACGAUCCUGCAACCCUUCUAGAACUUGAUCUGGAUUUGUGGUUAUAGAUUGGAUCGACCGAUGGACUCGAUAGAAAUCGGGUUUACAGUAUCUUAAACACUAUGAUCGAGGAUAUACAGAAGAGUAGUGUAUCGACCGUUGGUUCCUCGCAAUCGAGUUUGAGCUCCCAAUCUCCAGCAGUCCAAGUGAUUGUACAAGAACAAGUUGAAGCUUAGAUGACCCGACUUAGUGUUGACAUGACCUAACUUAGGUCCAAAACGACCAAACUUAGGCGAUUGUACAAGGAAUUGUUUUCAAACCUCGAUGCUACAUGUAGUUUACCUCAUCACCCACAUGGUCCUAAUAAAGAUCCACAUUUGUCUCCUCCUUCACCUUCAGCUUUUGUCAUCUAGAUAAAUUGUAUUCAAACUUACAUUUUUUAAAUUAGUGAUAAAUAUUUAAUUUUUUU